rnacentral:rRNA from 1 species
GACGUGGGGUCCAAGCGUUAUCCGGAUUUACUGGGCGUAAAGCGCGCGUAGGCGGUCUGUUAAGUGCACAAGUGAAAGCUCCGGGCUCAACUCGGAAAUUGCUUUGCAUACUGGCAGGCUGGAGGGACGCAGAGGUCUGUGGAAUUCCUGGUGUAACGGUGAAAUGUGUUGAUAUCAGGAGGAACACCCAUGGCGAAGGCAGCAGACUGGGCGUUUCCUGACGCUGAGGCGCGAAAGCGUGGGUAGCAAACAGG